UACGUAGGGUGCAAGCGUUGUCCGGAUUUAUUGGGCGUAAAGAGCUCGUAGGCGGCUCGUUGCGUCCAUCGUGAAAACUCAGGGCUUAACUCUGAGCUUGCGGUGGAUACGGGCGGGCUAGAGUUCGGUAGGGGAGUCUGGAAUUCCUGGUGUAGCGGUGAAAUGCGCAGAUAUCAGGAGGAACACCGAUGGCGAAGGCAGGACUCUGGGCCGAUACUGACGCUGAGGAGCGAAAGCGUGGGGAGCAAACAGG
rnacentral:rRNA from 1 species